rnacentral:rRNA from 2 species
GCGACGCUGGCGGCGUGCCUAAUACAUGCAAGUCGAGCGGAUCGCAUGGGAGCUUGCUCCCUGAGAUCAGCGGCGGACGGGUGAGUAACACGUGGGUAACCUGCCUGUAAGACUGGGAUAACUCCGGGAAACCGGGGCUAAUACCGGAUAACACCUACCCCCGCAUGGGGGAAGGUUGAAAGGUGGCUUCGGCUAUCACUUACAGAUGGACCCGCGGCGCAUUAGCUAGUUGGUGAGGUAACGGCUCACCAAGGCGACGAUGCGUAGCCGACCUGAGAGGGUGAUCGGCCACACUGGGACUGAGACACGGCCCAGACUCCUACGGGAGGCAGCAGUAGGAAUCUUCCGCAAUGGACGAAAGUCUGACGGAGCAACGCCGCGUGAGUGAAGAAGGUUUUCGGAUCGUAAAACUCUGUUGUUAGGGAAGAACAAGUGCCGUUCGAAUAGGGCGGCACC